AGAGUUUGAUCCUGGCUCAGAAUAAACGCUGGCGGCGUGCCUAACACAUGCAAGUCGAACGAGAAAGCCUUAAUCUUCGGAUGGGCGAGUAAAGUGGCGCACGGGUGAGUAACGCGUAGGUAACCUACCUCCGGGACCGGGAUAACAGUGCGAAAGUGCUGCUAAUACCGGAUACGAUUGUGGAGCGGGAGCUCUACGAUGAAAGUCGGCCUCUCAGAGAAGCCGAUGUUCGGGGAUGGGCCUGCGUCCUAUCAGCUGGUUGGUAGGGUAAC
rnacentral:rRNA from 1 species